AGAGUUUGAGUCCUGGCUCAGGACGAACGCUGGCGGCGUGCCUAACACAUGCAAGUCGAACGGAACUCUUUGGAACAAGGCUUCGGCCGAGGGAAGUUUGAGUUUAGUGGCGGACGGGUGAGUAACGCGUGAGCAACCUGCCCUUCGGAGGGGGACAACAGUUGGAAACGACUGCUAAUACCGCAUGACAUACAUUGAUCGCAUGGUCAGUGUAUCAAAAGAGUUUUAUCGCCGAAGGAUGGGCUCGCGUCUGAUUAGCUGGUUGGUGGGGUAACGGCCUACCAAGGCGACGAUCAGUAGCCGGACUGAGAGGUUGAACGGCCACAUUGGGACUGAGAUACGGCCCAGACUCCUACGGGAGGCAGCAGUGGGGAAUAUUGGGCAAUGGGGGCAACCCUGACCCAGCAACGCCGCGUGAAGGAAGAAGGCUUUCGGGUUGUAAACUUCUUUUAUCAGGGACGAUAGUGACGGUACCUGAUGAAUAAGCCACGGCUAACUACGUGCC
rnacentral:rRNA from 1 species